rnacentral:rRNA from 1 species
UACGUAGGGUGCAAGCAUUAUUCGGAGUGACUGGGCGUAAAGAGUUGCGUAGGUGGUUUGUUAAGUGAAUAGUGAAAUCUGGUGGCUCAACCACACAGACUAUUAUUCAAACUGGCAAACUCGAGAGUAGCAGAGGUAACUGGAAUUUCUAGUGUAGGAGUGAAAUCCGUAGAUAUUAGAAGGAACACCAAUGGCGUAGGCAGGUUACUGGGCUAUUUCUGACACUGAGGCACGAAAGCGUGGGGAGCGAACCGG